GAUGAACGCUGGCGGCGUGCCUAAUACAUGCAAGUCGAGCGAACAGACGAGGAGCUUGCUCCUCUGACGUUAGCGGCGGACGGGUGAGUAACACGUGGAUAACCUACCUAUAAGACUGGGAUAACUUCGGGAAACCGGAGCUAAUACCGGAUAAUAUAUUGAACCGCAUGGUUCAAUAGUGAAAGACGGUUUUGCUGUCACUUAUAGAUGGAUCCGCGCCGCAUUAGCUAGUUGGUAAGGUAACGGCCUACCAAGGCAACGAUGCGUAGCCGACCUGAGAGGGUGAUCGGCCACACUGGAACUGAGACACGGUCCAGACUCCUACGGGAGGCAGCAGUAGGGAAUCUUCCGCAAUGGGCGAAGCCUGACGGAGCAACGCCGCGUGAGUGAUGAAGGUCUUCGGAUCGUAAAACUCUGUUAUUAGGGAAGAACAAAUGUGUAAGUAACUAUGCACGUCUUGACGGUACCUAAUCAGAAAGCCACGGCUAACUACGUG
rnacentral:rRNA from 1 species